rnacentral:rRNA from 1 species
GACGAACGCUGGCGGCGUGCCUAAUACAUGCAAGUCGAGCGGACGAUUCGAAAGCUUGCUUUUGAAUCGUUAGCGGCGGACGGGUGAGUAACACGUGGGCAACCUGCCCUGUAGACGGGGAUAACACCGAGAAAUCGGUGCUAAUACCGGAUAACACGAAAUGUCGCAUGACGUUUCGUUGAAAGGCGGCGCACGCUGCCGCUACAGGAUGGGCCCGCGGCGCAUUAGCUAGUUGGUGAGGUAACGGCUCACCAAGGCGACGAUGCGUAGCCGACCUGAGAGGGUGAUCGGCCACACUGGGACUGAGACACGGCCCAGACUCCUACGGGAGGCAGCAGUAGGGAAUCUUCCGCAAUGGACGAAAGUCUGACGGAGCAACGCCGCGUGAGCGAAGAAGGCCUUCGGGUCGUAAAGCUCUGUUGUUAGGGAAGAACAAGUAACGUAGUAACUGACGUUACUAUGACGGUACCUAACGAGAAAGCCACGGCUAACUACGUG